rnacentral:lncRNA from 1 species
GCUUUGCAUAGGCUCUGCUCUGAAGACUGAGGUGGGUCUGCCACUCUGUAGGCUGAAACACGAGCUCUGGAGACUGUCAUUUGCACUUGUGUCUAGAAGUGCCUGUCUUCUGACUAUCGUAUUCUUCCAUGGAGCACCGGGGUGGCAGAUCUCCAGGAGAACCCAUUCUGCCUUUCAUUGAGGUUGCCUUCCAUCCUGGAGUCAAGUUCUGCCCAACAUCACAGGAUUUAGUUGCCUCCUUCACUCCUUUUUGGCUACUAGGCUACUAUUCUAUAUACUAAGUAUCGCACUCUGAGUCUUCCUGGCCAAUAUAACUGGAUUGAGAAGCACCUAAAAGAUAGAUCUUUGGAACCUUCAUGAAACUACUUCCAUGUUGGAAUGUGGAAUUUGGGGAACUUGAAUCUGUAUUUCCUGGCUGUGACCACUCUCAUAUUUUGCUCCAGAAUAAACUAUCUCCUAUCUCUUUUGAGGGACCAAAUCCACGCCCUCAUUCAUGAUGCUCAAACCCUCUACCUCCGAGUCACAUCGCGGCCCUGUGAAUGCUUAUUCUCACGAGUGUCCUGAAGCCUCCUGGCAGAAUCUCUGGACUCAUUAAACAGUACCAGUGCCUGGGCCAGCAAGAUGGAUGGCUUGGUGGGUAAAGGUGCCUGCUACAGAGCCUGAGGAUGCCAGCCCAACCCCUGGAACCCACACGGUGGAAGAAAACUAACUUUAACAAGCUGUCUUUUGAUGUCCACAUGUGAGUUGAGGUGUGAGCCCCCCUCCUUAGCUAAACAGACCUAUGUAAUAAAAAAGUAAUUCAAACCAA